GUAUUUUAUCAAUAAAAAUAAAAGGUGUAUUUUGUUGAAAGCAGAGAUCCUGUUGUAUCCUGGAGGUGCAGUCCUUUGUCUGCUGUAACAAUGAAUGAAUUCUUUCCCCAGGAAGUCUUCUGUCUCAUUUGACUUGACCUGGUGUUUUAAAUCAGAAAACAUCUCCUCUGAGAUCUGGAGUGACCUGACUCUUUGCAAAGCCUUCACUUUCGAGAUGACGACACUGAAAUUCGUGAAAUGACUCACCAGUUAGGUCGUGGGGGAGUGGUGAUAGCCCCUGUUUCUAUGGAGCUUCCGUGAAGGUUAUUUCUCCCUAAAUGUCAACAAGGUUUUAAGGGAACAAAACGUUGAGGUUAUUUCUAAAGUUAUCACAUCUAACACAAAACCAAUUAUGUUUCUGUUUUACUUUGUAUCUUAUAAUUAAGCAUUUCCCAUAGUGCAGUGACAAGGAAAAAAUACAUAAGGCUUGUGUGGGGAAAGGCAGCUUCCUAGAAAAGUCUUUGUGAACCUUUGAAGAAAGUGUUUUUUAAACUACUACAUUUUAUUUUAUAUACAUAUAUAAAAGAGCCCAUUAUUUGAGGUCCCUAGAGCAGUCAAAUUCAUAGAGACAAAAAGCAGAACAGUGGUUGCCGGGGGCUGGGGGAGGGGAGAUGGGGAACUGGUUAAUGGGUACAAAGUUUCCUUUUUGCCUGAUGAAGAGUUCUGGAGAUGCCUGGCGGUGAUGGUUGCACAGCAAUGCGAAUGUGGAAGGCCCCAGAACAGGCCGCCCUAAAUUAUGCUGCUUUGGUUUAUUGAUUUUGAGCAGUGGGUGCUUGAAAAACAGCAGGUGCGGGAGAGGCUUUCUCUGUGCCCCCUUCUCUGCCUGAAGACAGGUCCCCCCAAAGCAGCUCGUGGUCACAGCUCCCCUCCCGGGAGUCUCACCAACCAGGUGACUGGCUCUUGUCACAAGGAGGACACUAGGACUUGACACCAAACUAUGUCACAAACUGUCACACCUCCCAGCGAUUCUUCUAAGGCCUGGUCAUCUUUCCUAAAACCAUUUACUCUUCCCUGAGGCCUGCGUUCCCGUCCCCUUCCCCGACUGAGAUGGUGCCUAAAUCUAAAUGCUAAAGCUCCUCUGGGACUCACUCAUUCUCCCCUGGGUCUCUCUCACGCACACAUGAAGGUGACACGUCCAUAAACUUUUGGGCAUUUUUUUCUCUUGUUGAUCUUUUACUACAGGGGUCUCAGCUGAGAACUCUGAAGAGUAGAGGAAAAAUUAUUUCUCCUUCCCUCCAACAUACUUAACACGACUGAAUUGUACACUUAAAAAUGGCUAAGAUGGUAAAUUUUAUGCAUACGUAUUUUGCCACAAUCUAAAAAAAAAAAGUCCCAAUAGGUUAACUAACUCCUUAACGUUCCUAAACUAGGCAAAUUCAGGGACUGGAACUUAAGGCUGAUUUUCUGACUGGCAGGGGACGAAAUUGGUUAUUUUUAAACUGGAGCAGUUUGUGUUCUGGCACACAACACAAAUGCACAAAUGUAAACAGGAAAAAGAACAAAAUCCCUUGGGCUUUUUUUUUUUCUUCCUAAGCUGCAGAUACCCUUGACUCCCUUUUACGGUUAUAUAACCGAUGACAAAGCAAGGCAAGCCUUUCCCACCCAGCUCUCCGAUUUCACCCUUUCUCCUGGGAGGACACUGUUUGCGGCCCAUUGUGCUCUGAGACAUUCUCACGAGGCUGAGUGAAGCCCCAUACUAGUUGUGACCUUCAGGGGAAACGAAUGUUUUGGAGGAAGGAAGAAAGGCAGGCAGACACACAGGCACCAGUCCAACCCCCUCCCCGCAACAGCCCAACACCCAGGCCCUUUGUGAGCUCAGCCCAUCACGUGCCCGAUCUGCCCGCCAAUCCCGCCCUGUUGCUGGCCUCUGUCACUUUCCCAUUGGUGCCAGCUCUGAAGCAAUUUCUUCUGGGGCGCCUGCAAAGGACGGAUCUGUGUGGGCGGAAAGAACUGAAAAUGGAUCCAGGGACUCAUCCAGCUUCUCGCACCUUCCAGCACACUGCAUUCUGAGUCAGAGGCGUUCAGGUUUUAGGAGCGUGACUUGGUACCUGAUUCCCGAUUCCCGAGUCCGAGCGGGACAUUUAGACCUUGGGAGCCCUUCUCAGCAAAGGGAAAAGCAGUGGCAAUAACAACAACAAAAAUCCUCUCUAGAGCAGGGUUCCUCAACCAAAUUACGGACAUUUAGGGCCUGGUGAUUCUGUGUCGCGGGGGCCUGUCCACUGUCGGAAGUUUCAUGGCAUCCCUGGCCUCUACCACUAGAUGCUAGCAGCGCCCCCCACCCCCACCAAGCACCACCACAGUUGUGACAGGCAAAAACGCCUCCAGACGUUGCCAGGUGUCCACGGAGGGGCAAAAAUGAUUCCCAGUUGAGAAGCGCUGCUCCAGAGGCACACCAGUCCCUCUCUUUGGGGGAGGUCAGCGCCGCCUCCCCUCUCUCGCUCAGUGCCCUGGGACAAAUGUUUACUUCUAUUUGCUUCAACAAAAACUCACUCUUGGACUUAAAUUAGGGGAUGCAAACGUUUUCAGAGAAGAUUUUCUGCUAGAGAAAAAAAAUCAGUGUUCUCAGCUCCGAAGAAUGUUGUUUUCUCUUCGGAGCUGACCCUGGGCCUCUCCCCGCCCCCUGAGACGCUCUCCCCCCUCCUCGCCCUCAGAAAUCAGGCCUGUUUUUCUCCAUGCCUUUUGGACUCCGAAAGAAGCCACGUCACAAAGCGUGUGACUCAGCCCUUAAACGACAUGAAUCACAAGGCUUGCAGCCGAGCAACAGCCGAAAGCAAACAAGGUGUGGUUUGAAGUGAGGCCUGGCCACCGGAGAAAGAACCUCAGUUUUCGUUCCUUUGAAAACUUCUCCCUGGAAUUUAGGGAGAAAUAACCUCAUAAAGAGCCUCUGCAUGGUGUUCCUUUAAAACCUCUUUCCAGAAAUUUAGAAAGAAAUAACCUUCACCCAAAUCUUUAUUGGCAGUCGCUGGCGUCUCCUGCUUUCCUGAACAAUGAAUUCUAUUUUUACCAUUUAUUUUAAUUUCCUACUAAUAAAUUCAUUCUCUUUGGACAAGGUUAAAAAUCACAGAGGGUAAAGCAUCUUCAGCACCGCUCAUGGAAGUGAGCAUGAGUGAGGCCAUCUUGUUGUGCUAAGUGGCCCCAGCCCCUCCUCCGUGUGACCACUCGCCGCUCUGCACGUACUCUGCACAAGCAUUCGCACGCCCUCCUGGUUUAUGGCCUCCGCUUGACGUGGGUGCUCCCUGACAGCUUCACAAACUCAAACUUUGUUCUGUGAGUUUCCCUCCAGGCACGGGCUGCCCACAGGCGGGAGGCACACCCACUAGGCCUCCACCACAGCGGGCAGAAGGGAGCAACGUGAUGCCCGCACCCCUCCUCGCUGCCCGUUCCCUAUAUUUGCCUCGAGACCCUGGAAUCCUUGAAGACGGGUUUUUGAGACCUUAGUCACCCAUCUUCCGAUUUGCCGGAAUUAAACUUCCUCUCUCGACCCCUAGCUGGUUGUGAUUAAUUGGCUCACACGGCGCCCAUGGCUCGGCGUCCCUCAGCCCUUCUUCAUAAAUACACACGUACACGGCUUCCCCGGGGAGACGCAGGGCAGUUCCGUCUUGAUUCCCAUCUCAGGGAGAACGCUUAAAUAUUAAAGUGCUCAGAAUUUAGAACAGGAGUGUGGUCUUCUCCUGAUGGCAACAGCUUUCAGUCAGCGGCCUUUCUGUUUUCUUCCUGAAGCUUCCAGGGCGGAAAUUAAAAUGCCCUCCCUCCUGCUCAUUUGUAGAAACAGGGAGUACUUCUAGAAGAGUCCAGAAGGAGCGGCCUGCAGCACGGGGGCACGAGGGGGCCUUCUCACCGCCAGCUCUCACAGACCUGCUUUACCUCUGCACCGUGCUCACGUGUUUUAAGACACUUUUCUCCGCUUUAAUCAAAAUGGGAUUUGCCUCUGGAAUUAAAUAUCGCGUGUGGGAUACUGAGGGUUAUUUCCCCAGAAACACACAGGGCCGAGACUCACUCAGCGUCUGUCUGAGCCUUGACCUAAAUCUCUGAAACGUGAAAUUUCCGAGCGCAGCUGCACAGCGACAGAGCUGACAUUCGGGGGGCUCCUCGGUUAUCAUCGGGGACAAAGGUCCCAGGCGGAAGGCCAGGCGAUCGCACAGCCGGGCUAGAACAAUCUGGAAGGUUCUGCCCUGUCAGCGCCGGGGGUCUGACGAGGCCGGGAGGCAUUCCCGCCUUCCUGGCCGGCGGCGGGCAGCCGGGCCCGAGCACCUUGUCGGGGGCGGGCGCGCCGCCGCCGCGUCCGGCCGGAAGCCGCGAUCUGCCGAGUCAUCCGCCCUGUCCCGGUGCCCGCCGGCGCGGGGGAUGGGCUGGGGCCCCGGGGAGCCCGCGCCCGGCCCGGCCCGGGGGGAGGGAGUUUGGGGAAGCACGAACACUGCCGUUACUUUCAAUGUCACCCUGUCAAGGGUCCCUCAGGGUCGCGGGGGGCGCGCAGGGCGCGUGCGCGCGAGGGGAGCGGGACCCGACUCCGCCUGAGGCGCUCGGCCGGAGGCCUGUCCGCCAGGGGCGGGUCCCGUGCCCGGGAGACGCGGGGUCGUUAGGGUUGAGGGGAGGGGGCGCUGGGGCCGGGCUGCACGGAGAGCCCGCUCCGGCCGCCCGGGAGACUCCGCGCCGGGUUUUCGCGCCCGCCGCGGGCCGCUCCCCCGCCCCCGCCGUCGAACGCCGGCCACGCCGCGGACGCAGCGCGCCGAGAACGCGGUGAUCCCUCCGCCCGGCCUCUCAGGACUGCGGCCCCCUCCCCACCAGACUCCGCUCCAGAGCCCCGGUCUUAACAGGGGAACACUUCAGGAGGGGGAUUAGGGGAUUCCGGGGGGCUGCGCUUCUCUACAGGCAGCAGGAAGGGCUGAGAAAAGUAGUCCCUUCUAGGCGUUUCUGCGGAGGGAUCUUGCGGGGCGGGGCCACGGUUGCUAUAUAAGGGCGCGCCGGGUGUGGUGCAGCCAGUUUCGUCCAGGCCGGGAGUUCGUUGCUUCCUCUUCUCUGCGUGCGGCUGUCAUCGCGAUUUGACAAUGCAGAUCUUCGUGAAGACCCUGACGGGGAAGACCAUCACCCUGGAGGUGGAGCCCAGCGACACCAUCGAGAACGUCAAGGCCAAGAUCCAGGACAAGGAGGGUAUCCCCCCCGACCAGCAGAGGCUCAUCUUCGCCGGGAAGCAGCUGGAGGAUGGGCGCACCCUGUCUGACUACAACAUCCAGAAAGAAUCUACUCUGCACCUGGUCCUGCGCUUGAGGGGAGGUGUCUAAGGUCCCCCUUUUAAGCCUCUGACAAAUUACAUUGCACUUUUCUUUCAAUAAAGUUGUUGCAUUCCCAAAUAGUGUGGGUUUUUUAAUGUCAUGUGAGGUUCUUUUUCGUUAGGGUGUGGUGCAAGGGAUCAUGGUUUCCAGUCUACCAAAUGAUUCUCUGGUAACCAAGAGUUAAGAAAUACCAGUAAAAGAUUGCCUUAAUAUAGAAUUGUAGUGGGUGGGUACAAAUAAAGACUAGGCAAAUUAGAGGUUGCUUUUAGAAUUUCCUGUAUAUACACAUAUAUAGACAUUUGAGGGCUACUGACAUUAAAAAUACUGAGUUUGGGGGUGGUUGUGAGGUACCUGAGCAUGGGGAAGUUUCUGGAACACUAGCAGGAAGGAGAUAAGAGGAGGGGUGAUUGUGGUAGAAGGGAACUUACAGAAGUAGCUUUAAUGUCUAGCUGUACUUAAAUCCACGAGCUGCACAGAAGGUUGUCAUCUGACAGACUUUAAAGAAUAUGGCGAGUAUUGUAUAUUAAAUAAAAAUUACCUGGUAGGCAUUAUGCUAGUGUUUGGGCAUUAGUGGUUAUUUGAAAUGUCAUAAUUACUGCUGAAGUAAGUUGUCAAGGUGAUUCCUCGGUUUUCAUGUGGCUACAGAUAAAGGUUUGUAUAUAACUUCAUUGGUGGUGGGUGGAGCAUCUGGCCUUUGGUCUUAGUUUCCAGAAGUUUGUGGUGGUGGCAUUUACCCACUCAGCUGGUGCUGAUAAGGGAUUAUUUUUACGUCUUAACUAGAACCUAAGGUGGAGGUUGCAGGGAAGCUGGUCUAGUAUAAGCAAUUGGCCCUUGGUGAUGGGCACCCCAGAAAUCGGAGCCCCAUCUAAGCGCUGGAAGGGAUUGUCUUCUCCAGAGAGCACCAUUCCCUCCACUGCUCCCUUGCACUCCCCCAGUUUUGGGGUAUCCAUGCAUAACCUCUGAUGUAGAAGGAAAUUUUGUGUUGUCACUGCCAGUUGUAAAAUGGCCAGAACCAGGUUUAAGUCCUAGGUUCAGGGAUCACAACUAGAAAAUUGAGGCCAUUUGAGAAAUCCAUAAAUCUUAGGCAAGUCUGUUAGUUUCUGUGGUUUUUCACAAUAGGCUGGUAGAAGCAUGUGUAACACAGUUUGCUGAAUUUCCAUCCCUUGCCCGUACAAGAUAACAUAGGUCAGGAAGCAACAUUACAAGAACCCCAGGAACUUCACCAGCAGCUGUAACCAGUUACCAGUUACGAUGCUAGGAGUUUUUGUGCAAGUGAUUUUGGUGCUUGUUAGAAAUGAGUGGUCGUAGUACAGGGAAAACAUCUUAAUAGCAUCUUGAAAAUGACCGCUCUGCAGGACAGGUGGUGUAAGGUUCUUAGUCAGUGUUAAUGUAUUACAGGCAACUACUAAGUAUUAAUUCCCACUCACACAGUAGCAUACUGGUUUGUAGUCUGUCCUGCACCUUGUUUUUUGUAUUAUAUAUCAUGGUUUUGGCAGAGUUCUAACAUCUUUUCAUUUUGUAUAAAGGAAAAACACCUUUUGUGUAAUUUUCUCAAGGACAAACCACCCGGGCAACACAAUCCCUAGUGAACUUUUACAGUACCCUCCACCCAAUAAACGGCAUGUCAGAAGCCGUAGUGAUCCAGUGAUGGAUGAGAAGGUUUUCUGCCAUCAGGGGAUCCUUAGUCUAAGAGCAGACUUGCUGGACUUGUUCAGUUUCAUUGAAAGAUUGUUAAAUCUUAAAGCCCCCCAAAGUUUGGUUUCACAUUUGAAUGAAUACUAUGUAAGAACUCACAGACAUGUGGUUCUGUCUCUUGAACAAACCAGAAAAGAUAUGCAUGGCUUGUGUUAAGCUCAUGUUCCUUUUUAUGUUUUGUCUGAAAGCACAACAAAGUCUUCACUAAAAACAGGAUCUCCUGCAAGUUAUGAGUAUGGCCCUAAUAGAGGUAGAAUGUUGAGAGAUCGGCAAGGGCCCUUCAAUGAAGCCGGUCAGCCACCUUAGCGUGCGGUGCUGGUUUCUGCCGGCAGAGGGAGCUCCGGGCACAGACUUCGGUGGAGGCCUGCAGCCUGCAGUGCUCCCAGGCGGUUGCGGUUGACCAGGCAGUUGAUGUACUCACCAGCAAGGGUUACUUUACUCUCAUUUUUCUCCUUCUACCGGUGCUGCAGCCACCUCCGUUUCUACCCCAGCUCGAAUUACUCCAUAAUAUCUAAUAUAGCUGUUACUCAGACCCUCUUUCUUACUGAAUCUCACCAGCCCUCACCGCUCAAAUGCCCUCCUGCCCGCUUCCCCUGUCCGCUGGCCACUUUCUUUUCCCCACCUGCUCCCUGCCAUUUUGCACCUCUUUCCUUCGAGCUACUCCGUCUUUCUGAAAUACCACCCCUCCCACCUCGACAAAUCCAAUCCUGCCCGAUGUCAAGCCCUGAUUUAAAGAAUGCCCAAAGCCUGCCUUGACUGUCCCAGCUGGACAGUGGCUGUCUUCCCUGAAAUCGCGUAGCUCUUUCUAUUUUGUGUUGAAGCUCUUCACUCAAAUGAGGGAGCUCUGCUCCUGUGUGUUUCCCCAGCACAGUGGCGUCUUUAUUAAGUAUGAGAUGUAGUGUUUCAUGGGCUCUUCAUUAGUCCUUCCCCAGACAAGAUGGCUGUAGAAAUCCUGAAAUGAUUCCUGUGGGGCUUCCUAAUUUGCUUGAAAAGAAAACUAGGCACAGAGCUAGAUAGAAGACAGAAGGCAAAUGUUUUCUACCUUGAAACGUAUAUUGCACAGAUCUGAACAAUUAGUAAAAUGAUGGGGUUGUAUGAUCAGAGGCUUUCAACGAGUAAUAAAGGAUGCUUUUAAGAGUAGUAAAUCAAUGAAUAAUAGUAGUCAGUGGUUUGUGUCAAGCCCUGUCUCUACCACCAGAAAAAGUUGAUUUCUGUCUUGCAGAGUGGUCAAGAAUAUAGGCGUCUUUGUUUCCUUUUUUAAGCCAUUCUGCUUUUUGACUGGCUUUUGCGACAGCAUUAGUUUUUUACCAGGCAGAAGAGAAGCCUUGGGCUGUAACCAGAGGUGAGAUGGCUGAAAUCUCAGUGGUCCUCCAACUAGAAUUAGACUGAACAACAGUGUGUGAGUUAGGAGUGCUUUUGGCUACAGGACACAGAAAGAUCCAAAUCACAGAGGAUCAAACAAGGGGGUGUUCAUCUUCUCAUAACAAGCAGUCUGGAUGUAAACCCCAAGCAUUUGCUUUGUUGUGAUUCUCUUGUUCUUUCCCUCAUAGUUGCAAAAUUGUUGUCACAGCUCCAGAUAUCACAUCUGUAUUCAAAGCAGGGAGAAGUGCGGAGCAGUGGGGUCAGCCACGUCAGGUUUUUUUAAUGAAGAAAAUACAGGCUUUCACUGACUUACCCUCAGGUCUCGUUGAUCAGAACUGGUCAAGGGGCCAGAAUGGUUUAAAAUACAGGGUUUCUCAAACUCAGCACUAUUGACCUUUUAGCCUGGAUAACUCUUUAUUGUGGGAGCUGUCCUGUGCACUGCAGGAUGUUUAGCAGCAUUUCUGGCCUCUGUCCACUGGGUGCCAGUAGCCCUCAGUGGUGACAACUAAAAAUAUUUCCAGAUGUUUCUGAAGUCCCCUGGGAGGCAAAAAUCAUCCCCCCUUGAGAACCGCUGGUUUAGACCAGUCAUGAUCCAUUGCUUGAGGCUGGCUGUAUUUCCACCUUGAAAAAAAAAUCAGAAUUAGUAAAGCAAAAAGACGGUCAUGGGUCUAGGGGUGGGCAGCUAAAAGCAGCGAUAAUGAAAUCUAAGGGCACUCUUAUUUUUUGUCGUCUUGGUAAAACUCAGUGUUACACAUCAUUAGACCAGUGGUUCUUAGGACGCAGUGUAGAAGAGGACACCAUGGGGACUUGUUAAAAAUGCAGUGCCUCAGCCCCCUCCCGGAGGCCCAGAUUCAGCAGGGCUGGGGUAGUGCCAGGAUCUGCAUUUUUUUUUAAUUGAGGUCAUAAUAGUUUAUAACAUUGUGAAGUUUCAAUUGUACAUUAUUAUUUGUCCAUUACCAUGCAUAUGUGCCCCUUUCACCCUUGUUCCUGCUCCCCACCCCCUUCUCCUCUGGUAACCACUAGUCUGUUCUCUUGUCAUGUGUUUGUUUAUCUCCCACAUGAGUGAAAUCGUACAAUGUUUGUCUUUGUCUGGCUUAUUUCGUUUAACAUAGUACCCUCACGGUCCAUCCAUGUUGUUGCGAAUGGGACGAUUUUGUCUUUUUUUAUGGCUGAGUAGUAUUCCAUUGUGUGUAUAUAGCACAUCUUCCUUGUCCAGUCGUAACUGAUGGGCACUUGGGUUGCUUCCACGUCUUGGCUAUUGUGAAUAAUGCUGCAGUGAACAUAGGGGUGCAUAAGUCUCUUUGGAUUGUUGAUUUCAAGCUCUUUGGAUAAAUAUCCAGUAGUGGGAUAGCUGGGUCAUAUGGUAUUUUUAUUUUCAAUUUUUUGAGAAAUCUCCAUACUGUUUUCCCUAGUGGCUGCACCAGUUUGCAUUCGCAGCAGCACUGUAUGAGGGUUCCCUUUUCUCCACAUCCUCUCCAACAUUUAUUUUUAGUUUUGGUGAUUAUAGCCGUUCUAACAGGUGUAAGAUGAUAUCUCAUUGUAGUUUUGAUUUGCAUUUCCCUGAUGAUUAGUGAUGCUGAACAUCUUUUCAUGUGCCUGUUGGCCAUCUGUAUAUCUUCUUUGGAGAAAUGUCCGUUCAUGUCCUCUGCCCAUUUUUUGAUUGGGUUGUUUGUUUUUUUGUUGUUCAGUUGUGUAAGUCUUUUUUUUUUUUUUUUUUUUUUUAGUGAAAGCCCG
rnacentral:lncRNA from 1 species